UAAGUUUUCGAUCGCCCCCCAGGGGGCUAUAUCGCCCAGGCUGAGAAUCACUGGUCUAAAUCAAAAAGAUCAGGGUUAUUUAUGUGACCUUUAAUAAUUUCGAAUGGUGUGAAUUGUGUUACGGAGUGAAUUAUUAUAAAAAUUGUUAUAUGCCAAUAUUGAGUGUUUAAUUAAUUGAUCAGUUUUUUUCUUGCCGCGAAGUGAUAUAACAAUGAGUAUUAAUACAGAUAAGGCAUUUUUGGCAUUGACACUAGUA